rnacentral:rRNA from 1 species
GACAGAGGGUGCAAACGUUGUUCGGAAUUACUGGGCGUAAAGCGCGUGUAGGCUGCUCGGAAAGUCGGAUGUGAAAGCCCUGGGCUUAACCUAGGAAGUGCAUUCGAAACUUCCGAGCUGGAGUUCUGGAGAGGAAGGCGGAAUUCUCGGUGUAGAGGUGAAAUUCGUAGAUAUCGAGAGGAACACCGGUGGCGAAGGCGGCCUUCUGGACAGUGACUGACGCUGAGACGCGAAAGCGUGGGGAGCAAACGGG